rnacentral:rRNA from 1 species
GAUGAACGCUGGCGGCGUGCCUAAUACAUGCAGGUCGAGCGAACGGACGAGAAGCUUGCUUCUCUGAUGUUAGCGGCGGACGGGUGAGUAACACGUGGAUAACCUACCUAUAAGACUGGGAUAACUUCGGGAAACCGGAGCUAAUACCGGAUAAUAUUUUGAACCGCAUGGUUCAAAAGUGAAAGACGGUCUUGCUGUCACUUAUAGAUGGAUCCGCGCUGCAUUAGCUAGUUGGUAAGGUAACGGCUUACCAAGGCAACGAUGCAUAGCCGACCUGAGAGGGUGAUCGGCCACACUGGAACUGAGACACGGUCCAGACUCCUACGGGAGGCAGCAGUAGGGAAUCUUCCGCAAUGGGCGAAAGCCUGACGGAGCUACGCCGCGUGAGUGAUGAAGGUCUUCGGAUCGUAAAACUCUGUUAUUAGGGAAGAACAUAUGUGUAAGUAACUGUGCACAUCUUGACGGUACCUAAUCAGAAAGCCACGGCUAACUACGUG